rnacentral:rRNA from 1 species
AUUGAACGCUGGCGGCAGGCCUAACACAUGCAAGUCGAACGGUAACAGGAAACAGCUUGCUGUUUCGCUGACGAGUGGCGGACGGGUGAGUAAUGUCUGGGAAACUGCCUGAUGGAGGGGGAUAACUACUGGAAACGGUAGCUAAUACCGCAUAACGUCGCAAGACCAAAGAGGGGGACCUUCGGGCCUCUUGCCAUCAGAUGUGCCCAGAUGGGAUUAGCUAGUAGGUGGGGUAACGGCUCACCUAGGCGACGAUCCCUAGCUGGUCUGAGAGGAUGACCAGCCACACUGGAACUGAGACACGGUCCAGACUCCUACGGGAGGCAGCAGUGGGGAAUAUUGCACAAUGGGCGCAAGCCUGAUGCAGCCAUGCCGCGUGUAUGAAGAAGGCCUUCGGGUUGUAAAGUACUUUCAGCGGGGAGGAAGGUGUUGUGGUUAAUAACCACAGCAAUUGACGUUACCCGCAGAAGAAGCACCGGCUAACUCCGUGCCAGCCGCCGCGGUAA